rnacentral:rRNA from 1 species
UGGGGAAUUUUGGACAAUGGGCGAAAGCCUGAUCCAGCAAUGCCGCGUGUGUGAAGAAGGCCUUCGGGUUGUAAAGCACUUUUGUCCGGAAAGAAAUCCUUGGCUCUAAUACAGUCGGGGGAUGACGGUACCGGAAGAAUAAGCACCGGCUAACUACGUGCCAGCAGCCGCGGUAAUACGUAGGGUGCAAGCGUUAAUCGGAAUUACUGGGCGUAAAGCGUGCGCAGGCGGUUUGCUAAGACCGAUGUGAAAUCCCCGGGCUCAACCUGGGAACUGCAUUGGUGACUGGCAGGCUAGAGUAUGGCAGAGGGGGGUAGAAUUCCACGUGUAGCAGUGAAAUGCGUAGAGAUGUGGAGGAAUACCGAUGGCGAAAGGCAGCCCCCUGGGCCAAUACUGACGCUCAUGCACGAAAGCGUGGGGAGCAAACAGGAUUAGAUACCCUGGUAGUCCACGCCCUAAACGAUGUCAACUAGUUGUUGGGGAUUCAUUUCCUUAGUAACGUAGCUAACGCGUGAAGUUGACCGCCUGGGGAGUACGGUCGCAAGAUUAAAACUCAAAUGAAUUGACGGGGUCAUAGCUGUUUCCU